CCUACGGGUGGCAGCAGUCGAGAAUCAUUCACAAUGGGGGAAACCCUGAUGGUGCGACGCCGCGUGGGGGAAUGAAGGUCUUCGGAUUGUAAACCCCUGUCAUGUGGGAGCAAAUUAAAAAGAUAGUACCAUAAGAGGAAGAGACGGCUAACUCUGUGCCAGCAGCCGCGGUAAUACAGAGGUCUCAAGCGUUGUUCGGAAUCACUGGGCGUCAAGCGUGCGGAGGCUGUUUCGUAAGUCGUGUGUGAAAGGCGCGGGCUCAACCCGCGGACGGCACAUGAUACUGCGAGACUGGAGUGAUGGAGGGGGAACCGGAAGUCUCGGUGUAGCAGUGAAAUGCGUAGAUAUCGAGAGGAACACUCGUGGCGAAGGCGGGUUCCUGGACAUUAACUGACGCUGAGGCACGAAGGCCAGGGGAGCGAAAGGGAUUAGAUACCCGGGUAGUC
rnacentral:rRNA from 1 species